UACGUAGGGUCCGAGCGUUGUCCGGAAUUACUGGGCGUAAAGAGCUCGUAGGUGGUUUGUCGCGUUGUUCGUGAAAACUCACAGCUCAACUGUGGGCGUGCGGGCGAUACGGGCAGACUUGAGUACUGCAGGGGAGACUGGAAUUCCUGGUGUAGCGGUGGAAUGCGCAGAUAUCGGGAGGAACACCGGUGGCGAAGGCGGGUCUCUGGGCAGUAACUGACGCUGAGGAGCGAAAGCGUGGGGAGCGAACAGG
rnacentral:rRNA from 1 species